CCCUUCUACAAAGGUGUGUUGGUGGUUUCCUGCCUUUGGACAUACAGGAAUUGGAGGCAAAAAAGAGGUGGAGUUGGAGAAGUCUGGAGCCUGCUUGCUCCCUACAGGCUCAAGAUCAUCCUUUCCAAAAAA
rnacentral:snoRNA from 1 species